GGGCCAGUGGCGCAAUUGGUUAGCGCAGGAAGCUUAUACCUUCAAGGUUCCUGGUUCGAGUCCAGGCUGGCCCA
rnacentral:tRNA from 2 species